rnacentral:rRNA from 1 species
CUGGUGGCGAGUGGCGAACGGGUGAGUAAUACAUCGGAACAUGUCCUGUAGUGGGGGAUAGCCCGGCGAAAGCCGGAUUAAUACCGCAUACGAUCUACGGAUGAAAGCGGGGGACCUUCGGGCCUCGCGCUAUAGGGUUGGCCGAUGGCUGAUUAGCUAGUUGGUGGGGUAAAGGCCUACCAAGGCGACGAUCAGUAGCUGCGUCUGAGAGGACGACCAGCCACACUGGGACUGAGACACGGCCCAGACUCCUACGGGAGGCAGCAGUGGCGGAAUUUUGGACAAUGGGCGAAAGCCUGAUCCUAGCAAUGCCAGCGUGUGUGAAGAAGGCCUUCGGGUUGUAAAGCACUUUUGUCUCGGAAAGAAAUCCUUGAGUUCUAAUAUAGCCGGGGGAUGACGGUAGCGGAAGCAAUAGACAACCGGCUAU